UACAGAGGUGGCAAGCGUUGUUCGGAAUUACUGGGCGUAAAGGGCGCGUAGGCGGUCUUCUAAGUCUUGUGUGAAAUCCCUCGGCUCAACUGAGGAACUGCACGGGAUACUGGAAGACUUGAGUUCGGGAGAGGGAAGCGGAAUUCCGGGUGUAGCGGUGAAAUGCGUAGAUAUCUGGAGGAAUACCGGUGGCGAAGGCGGCAUCCUGGACCGGCAUUGACGCUGAGGAGCGAAAGCUAGGGGAGCAAACGGG
rnacentral:rRNA from 1 species